CCUACGGGAGGCAGCAGUGGGGAAUAUUGCACAAUGGGCGCAAGCCUGAUGCAGCCAUGCCGCGUGUAUGAAGAAGGCCUUCGGGUUGUAAAGUACUUUCAGCGAGGAGGAAGGCGUUGUGGUUAAUAACCGCAACGAUUGACGUUACUCGCAGAAGAAGCACCGGCUAACUCCGUGCCAGCAGCCGCGGUGAUACGGGAGCCAGCAGCCGCGAUAAUA
rnacentral:rRNA from 1 species